rnacentral:lncRNA from 1 species
AAAAAAUAAUAAAGAUAAUCUUAAAAAAGAAAAGCAAAUUCUUGGGCUCCACCCUAGGAGUCAGAAAUUUAGUAGGGCACCCAGAAAUAAGUUUUAAUAAUCCUUCCAGGUAACUUGAUUCACACUGAAGUUUGAGAAUCACUGCUCUAUGCAAAUAGUCGCCUUUUUCUCAGCUUAGAAUCACCUGGAGAGCUGAUAAAAAUUCUCACGUCCAGGCUGCACCUAGAUCAAUUAAGCGGAAUCUCUUAAGGGUGGAAACAGGGCAGCAAUAAAACAGUUCAUCAGGUGAUUCCACUGUGCAGUGUCAGGAAAAAAAAAAGCUAUGGCAUUUAAACCUAGACUCUAUUUAAAUUAUUACAUCCAGGCAUUGCUCCAGCCCAAAAUAAGAAUCUCACUCAGGCCUUUUUGGAGCCCAGCCCUCCAUUAGCUUAUGCCUCAAGUAUAGAUGUGAAAUAAGAAGUGGAGCAUUCUUUGGCUGUUGAUUUGUUAGGGACUGACCAACUUUCAGCAAAAUGUAUUAGCAUGUUAGUGUGUGGAUGUAUUGGAACUGAAUCAUAGAACAUUGGAACUAAAAGAUUCUAGAAUGAAUCUGUCUUAAAGAUGAGAAAAUCAGGGCUCAGAGGUAAACUAACAAUCCAGAUUAGAGAGUCUUGCAGAAGUGCCCUUUCUGUCUUAAAUGUCUUGAAUGUAUCCACUAUAUGAACAUAGGUAAAACUAUCCUUUUUAUCUCGCUUCCCUCUUCUUUCUUUGGGCCUUGAAUAAAGGUCAGAGAACUGAUUGACAGCUGAAGGGUAUUAUUGCAAGCAUCAUGCCUGAUUGGGAGAUUGCACAGAAUAAUCUGAGAAGGAUCUGCCCUCUUAAAAAAGCACAAGAUCAGCUUCUACCAGUUAGAAGACAAAUGUUCCCUGUUCAUCCAACUGGUCAACUCCUGAAAUUGGAUUUGUUAUCUGAGUGCUGAAGAAUUGAUGCUUUUGAACUGUGGUUUUGGAGAAGACUCUUCAGAGUCCCUUGGACUGCAAGGAGAUCCAACCAGUCCAUCCUAAAGGAAAUCAGUCCUGAAUAUUCAUUGGAAGGACUGAUGCUGAAAUUCCAAUACUUUGGCCACCUGAUGCGAAGAACUGACUCAUUGGAAAAUACCCUGAUGCUGGGAAAGAUUGAAGGUGGGAGGAGAAGGGGACGAUAGAGGAUGAGAUGGUUGGAUGGCAUCAUCGACUCAAUGGACAUGAGUUUGAGCAAACUCUGGGAGUUGGUGAUGGACAGGGAAGCCUGGCAUGCUGUAGUCUGUGGGGUUGCAAAGAGUUGGACACGACUGAGUGACUAAACUGAACUGAACUGAGUUUGUAGUUACUACAACAUUGAGGGUACCCUUCAGAAAAGCUUAACCUCUCACUCUUUGACCAUUCUUUGCACCAAUUAGGAUAGGUUCACCUGCAAGAAAAGUGCUUUAAGCCAUUGGAAAUUUUCUUGUUUCUUAAGGAAAAUUCCCAAAGUGGGCAGUUCCAGAGUUGACUGGCAACUCAAACAUGUCAUCAGGGACCCAGAGACUUUUCAUCCUUGAGUUUCAGCAUGGGAAGCAUGUUGCCUUGCAUCCUCACAUUUGUCACAAGGUCUCAAGGUGACUACAGAAACUCCAGGCCUUAGGUCUUCACACAACAUUCAAAGAUGAGAAAAGGGGGCAAAGGAAAAACACCUUUCCUGUUCAUCAAGAAGGAAAUAUCUUCCAGACUUUCUUCUAUGCCCAAGAUGGGAACUGGAUCAAAGAACCAUCUCUGACUGCAAUGCAGGCUGAAAGGUGAAUAUCUGGCAAAGAGAUUUAAAGUUCUGAUUGACUUAGACCGGUCACAAUUUCAUGCAUAUUCAGCCUUUCUAUUCUACCUCUUUAGCGCAUUUUUUGAUCUUUCACUCCUUACUGUGGCCAAGGCUGAAGAAAGGGGGGAUGAGCUAACAGUGGCUGCUGUCGUGUGGUGUAGCGUGUCAUAGGAUCCUCUGUGCUCUGAUAUGAAGAAAGGAUAAUAAAGGUACCUAUCUGUUAUGAUUAGGACUGGUC